UGCGUAGGUGGCGCCGUAAGUCGGGUGUGAAAUUUCGGAGCUUAACUCCGAAACUGCAUUCGAUACUGCGGUGCUUGAGGACUGGAGAGGAGACUGGAAUUCAUGGUGUAGCAGUGAAAUGCGUAGAGAUCAUGAGGAAGACCAGUGGCGAAGGCGGGUCUCUGAACAGUUCCUGACACUGAGGCACGAAGGCCAGGGGAGCAAACG
rnacentral:rRNA from 1 species